GACGCUGGCGGCGUGCUUAACACAUGCAAGUCGAACGGUAAGGCCCUUCGGGGUACACGAGUGGCGAACGGGUGAGUAACACGUGGGUGAUCUGCCCUGCACUUCGGGAUAAGCCUGGGAAACUGGGUCUAAUACCGGAUAGGACUCCUGGCUUCAUGGUUGGGGGUGUAAAGCUUUUGCGGUGUGGGAUGGGCCCGCGGCCUAUCAGCUUGUUGGUGGGGUAAUGGCCUACCAAGGCGACGACGGGUAGCCGGCCUGAGAGGGUGACCGGCCACACUGGGACUGAGAUACGGCCCAGACUCCUACGGGAGGCAGCAGUGGGGAAUAUUGCACAAUGGGCGCAAGCCUGAUGCAGCGACGCCGCGUGAGGGAUGACGGCCUUCGGGUUGUAAACCUCUUUCAAUAGGGACGAAGCGCAAGUGACGGUACCUAUAGAAGAAGGACCGGCCAACUACGUG
rnacentral:rRNA from 1 species